rnacentral:rRNA from 1 species
AUUAAAAUAAGGAAUUCGGCAAAUAUUUUUUCACCUGUUUAAUAAAAACAUGUCUUAUUUGUGUAAAGAUUUUAGGUCUGACCUGCCCAUUGAUUUAUAUUUAACGGCCGCAGUAAUUUGACUGUGCUAAGGUAGCAUAAUCAUUAGUUUUUUAAUUGAAAACUGGAAUGAAAGGUUAGAUGAAAAAAAUACUGUCUCUUUUUGAUUUUUUGAAUUUUAUUUUUAAGUUAAAAAUCUUAAAUUAUAUUAAAAGACGAGAAGACCCUUUAGAGUUUUAUAUAUGAAUAAGAUUAGUUUAUUAGAAUAUAUUGAAAAUUUUGUUUUUAUAUUUGGUUGGGGUGAUUAUUAAAUAAAUUUAACUUUAAUUUUUUUUUACAAUAAUUUUUGAAUUUUUUGAUCUAUUUAUAAUGAUUAUUAGAUAAAAUUACCUAAGGGAUAACAGCGUAAUUUUUUUGGAGAGUUCUUAUUGAUAAAAAAGAUUGCGACCUCGAUGUUGGAUUAAAGUAAAAAAUUGGUGUAGAUGCUAAUUUUUUUAGUCUGUUCGACUAUUAAAACUUUACAUGAUCUGAGUUUAGACCGGCGUGAGCCAGGUUGGUUUCUAUCUUUAGUUAAAAUUUAUAUUUUAGUACGAAAGGACCAAAU